rnacentral:lncRNA from 1 species
AGAAGUUUAUAUUAUCUUCUCCUUACAGUAUUAGACUCUUUGAGUCUCAGGGAUCAAAGCUCCAUGAUAAAGAUCCACCUUUGAUGACAACUCUCAGACACAGGAAGGAACAGGAGACUGAUCAAUGCAAGUGUGGCCAAGGGACUUGGGUUUUACUUUUAUUGCUGAGUCUGGUUUUCUUGAGUUUCAGGGACAUAGAACAUAUUUGCUGUGGCUGUUGGAGAAGAGGCCAAAAGUCACCACCAAACUCAUCUCCAGGGAACAUUCUCUGUCUGCAACUCUCAAGCCCCAAUAGAGUCUUUAUCAAAAGAACCGAUUCAUCAAAAGAGUCUCGUCAUGGUUUACACUUUACUAGUCCCCAAAUCAUUGAGUUAAACUUCCCAUUUUAAUAGAUGAA